rnacentral:rRNA from 1 species
ACUCAAAUGAAUUGACGGGGACCCGCACAAGCAGUGGAGUAUGUGGUUUAAUUCGAUGCAACGCGAAGAACCUUACCCAGAUUUGACAUACAGAGGACAGUACUAGAAACAGUAUCUCCCUUCGGGGCCUCUGAACAGGUGCUGCAUGGCUGUCGUCAGCUCGUGCCGUGAGGUGUUGGGUUAAGUCCCGCAACGAGCGCAACCCUUAUCAUUAGUUGCUACCAUUUAGUUGAGCACUUUAAUGAGACUGCCCGGGUUAACCGGGAGGAAGGUGAGGAUGACGUCAAGUCCGCAUGGCCUUUAUAUCUGGGGCUACACACGUACUACAAUGGUCGGUACAGAAGGCAGCGAAACCGCGAGGUGAAGCAAAUCCCAAAAGCCGAUCUCAGUUCAGAUUGUAGUCUGCAACUCGACUACAUGAAGAUGGAAUUGCUAGUAAUGGCAGGUCAGCACACUGCCGUGAAUACGUUCCCGGGUCUUGUACACACCGCCCGU